UACGGAGGAUGCAAGCGUUAUCCGGAUUUAUUGGGUUUAAAGGGUCCGUAGGCGGGCAUAUAAGUCAGCGGUGAAAACCUGCAGCUCAACUGCAGACCUGCCGUUGAUACUGUAAGCCUUGAAUAGUAUUGAAGUAGCUAGAAUGUGUAGUGUAGCGGUGAAAUGCAUAGAUAUUACACAGAAUACCCAUUGCGAAAGCAGGUUACUAAACACUCAUUGACGCUGAGGGACGAAAGCGUGGGGAGCGAACAGG
rnacentral:rRNA from 1 species